AUGGAGGCGGCGAUUGGCGCGGCACGUGGGCUCGUCGGCACGGUAGUGAAUCUGCUGUCUAACGACCUUGUGCAGGCGUAUGUCACCAGUGCAGAGCUCGGCCUCAACUCCGAGAAGACCAAAGAUGAUCUGAUGCGCACACAAGUGGUGCUGCGGGAGGCCCAGCGUAGAGGCGUGAUCAACAACCCCAGUUUGGAGGAGCUGCUGCACAAGCUCCACACCAAGGUCGGCAAGGCGGAGGACGCGCUGGACGAGCUCCAGUACUUCAUCAUCCAGGACCAGCUCGACGGCACUCAGUACGCUGUGCCGGAUCUGGGCAAUACCCUCUGGGGUCAUGCUCGCCACAUCCGUCAUGCCAUUCACCAUGCCAUCGGUAACUUCAUCCUUCCAUGCUUUUCUUGUUGGCUGCUGCAAGAUGAUGAUCAUGGUGCUGCUGCUAUAAAUCAUCCUCACAAUACCUCCAACCCAGCUAGUGGUAAUGAUGGUUCAGUUACUAAGUUGUCAUUCGACAGAGUGGCCAUGUCCAAGAAAAUCAAACAAGCCAUAGAGGAAAUGCACUCCCUGUGUGACCAAUUCUUGGAGUUGCUAAAAAUAAUCCCAGACCAUAGUAACAGUACUACAACUGUCAACCUAAAACGACCUCUCACAGGAUCAAUCACUGCACAAGGUCAGGGGAGCCGAGUCCAUAAAUUGUAUGGGAGGGAAGACCUGUUUGAGCAAACCAUAAAAGAUCUCAUCACCAAUUGCACAGAUAGCAAUAAAACUCUUUCAGUUAUGCCUAUAAUUGGUCCAGGGGGUAUUGGAAAAACAACCUUCACCCAACACCUGUACAAAGAUAAAAGGACACGUGAACACUACCCUGCCAGGGCUUGGAUAUGUGUCUCAACUGAUUUUGAUGUGCUUAAGCUCAGUCAGCAGAUUCUUAGCCAAAUUGAAGAAAACAAUGAUGCAUAUCAAACAUCAAGUUUAAACCAGCUCCAGAAUUCCAUUGAAAAGGGGCUCAAGUCUAAAAGGUUUUUGAUUGUCUUUGAUGAUAUAUGGGAAUGCACUACUCAGGAUUGGGAAACCCUGCUAGCUCCUAUGGGAAAGGGCGAAACCACAGGUAACAUGGUUCUCGUCACAACUCGGUUCCCAUCUAAAGUUGAUGAUGUGAAAACAACCGACCCGAUUCUGCUGAAAGGCCUUGAGCUGGAUGAUUUUUUAACAUUCUUCGAAGCAUUAAUAUUUGAAGGACAAAUACCCCACAAUUUGAAAGAACUUGCAAAGGAUAUUGCCAAGAAAUUGAAGGGUUCACCUCUAGCAGCCAAAACAGUUGGUCGGCUAUUGAAGAAUGACCUAUCUAAGAAACAUUGGAUGGCAGUUCUCAAAGAUAAUAGAUGGCAAAAACAAAAAAAUAAUGAUGAUAUUAUGCCAUCUCUAAAGAUUAGCUAUGAUUACCUUCCUUUCCAACUGAAAAAAUGUUUUUCGUGUUUUUCCCUAUUCCCGGAAGACCAUAGGUUUAGCAAUCUAGAGAUUACAUGUUUUUGGAGUGCAUUAGGGAUCAUUGAAAAAGAUGAGAAUUACAUGGAAGAACUUUUGAAAAAUGGUUUUCUCGUGAAGGAGAAUGAUCGUUGGUCAAAUCAACAGUACUAUGUGCUGCAUGAUUUAUUGCACGAACUAGCUCGGAGUGUCUCGUCACAAGAAUGCCUAAAUAUAUAUAGCAAUGGAAGUUUUAGGGCUGAUGAUGUCCCAAAAUCCAUUCGUCAUUUGUCCAUCACCAUGAAAGACAAAUACGUUGAGACUUUUAGGACAGAAAUGACUAAAUUAAAGAGCAAGGUAGACAUCCCAAAUUUGCGUGCUCUAAUGAUUUUUAGAAAAUAUGAGGAACAAAUUGAUGAGAUUAUAGAAGACACUUUCAAGGAAAUAGAGGCCCUUCGUGUUCUUUUUAUCGAAGUCAUGUCCCCAGAAUCUUUACCACAUUACUUUCCAAAACUUAUCCACCUACGAUAUCUAAAAAUUAGUCCAAUGGAAUUUGGUUCAGAAGUGACUUUUCCUAGCACACUGUCAAGAUUUUAUCACUUGCAAUUAUUGGACCUAAGUGAUUGGUAUGAUCAAAGUGUUAAAUUGCCCAAUGACAUUAACCGCCUUACCAAUUUAUGCCAUUUUAUUGCCGAAAGAGAAGUCCAUUCCAAUGUUCCUGAGGUAGGAAAGAUGAAGUAUUUAAAGGAGCUUAAAGAAUUCCAUGUCAAGAAAGAGAGUGUUGGAUUUGAAUUGAGUGAAUUGGGGGAUUUAACAGAGCUUGGAGGAGAACUCAGUAUAUAUAAUAUUGGAAAUGUGGCAACCAAGGAAGAGGCCAUGAAAGCCAAGCCUGUGUCAAAAGGUGAUUUGGAAAUGUUGAGGUUGGUUUGGGGAGGAUUGGAUGCAUCGGAACCAUCUGAUGGUGCAUCGGAAUCAUCUCAUGGUGCAUCGGAAUCAUCUGAUGCCCUUGAUGAUCCAACGGUAUCAUCUGAUGCCCUUGAUGGUACACCAGAAUUAUCUGAUGUUCUUGAUGGUCUUGAGCCACACCCUAAUCUUCAAUCACUUGGCAUUGAAAACCAUGGUGGUUCAGUCGGUCCACAUUGGUUGUGUGGUCACAUGAGCAUAAAGAUGCUUGUGUCUCUCCACCUAGAGGGUGUGUCUUGGGCCAUUCUUCCACCUUUUGGGCAGUUAUUGCAUCUCAGAUCAAACCAGGGGUUGUUGGGGUCACGGCUAAAAGUUUUACGCAGUUGA
rnacentral:rRNA from 1 species